rnacentral:rRNA from 1 species
UACGGGGGGAGCAAGCGUUGUUCGGAUUUACUGGGCGUAAAGGGCGCGUAGGCGGCGUGACAAGUCACUUGUGAAAUCUCCGGGCUUAACUCGGAACGGUCGAAGUGAUACUGUCGUGCUAGAGUACAGAAGGGGCAACUGGAAUUCUCGGUGUAGCGGUGAAAUGCGUAGAUAUCGAGAGGAACACCUGCGGCGAAGGCGGGUUGCUGGGCUGAUACUGACGCUGAGGCGCGAAAGCUAGGGGAGCGAACGGG